ACGUCGUCUGAAUCUCUUCUUACGUUAAUAAGCCUAGCCGAAUCUCCCGUCUUCUCUUGGGAACCUGAAGACAAAAUUGUUGAGCUGUUCUCUGUUUACACAUUAAGAAUAAAGGAGUUGAAGAAACUCCUUCUGUAAUGGCCAACCAAGCUACAGCUUUAAUCUGUUAUGCUUCUUUAUCUUCUUGUGGCUUGUUCUA